AGAGCGGGUGCUCCUCUUUCCAUUAGACGAUCUUUGACGCUCUCGGUGCAGAAAGCAAGCCUGAAAAACACCACAAACACGCUGCGUUCGCUCUAAAACGUCUGAGCCUCUGGAAACGUUCGUCUCUCCCCCUCACGGACGUCAAAGCAAGAUAAGGUUUAGUCUGAUCCCAGGAAAGCGUGUGAGGAAGGAAGGAAAUGAGGAACCUAGGAAAGGACGAAGGAGAGAGGCUGAGCGGCGUAGCUGCUAGCAUACCACCUCAAUGCGCUAACCUCCAGUACAGCUUCUACUGCUUCCCGCUUUCCAUCCGAGUGGAGCGUCACUCGCGAAGGGAAAAAGAGAAGAUGGACGUCUGAGGUCAGGCUGAGGAUUAGAGGUCAGCAGAUGUUUGCACACGCGCGCGCACACGUGCACGCUAAGAGCCAGCUCCUUAAGCGCUGCAGCAAAAUAAUCCUUCACUUCAACACAAACGCGACAACACGUUUAGAACCUCCCACCACACGCCUGCAGCCAAUCACACGCCACGGCAAUGGAUGAAUGCAUGAACACACAACACAUGGAUGAAUGAAUGGAUGGUUGGACGGAUGGAUGACUUAAUAGAAUGGAUGGAUGAAUGGCUUAAUUGAUGGGUGAAUAGAUGCAUGGAUGGUGGAUGAAUAAUGGGUGAGUGAAUAAAUGAAUGGAUGAGUGGAUUGAUGGAUGGGUGAAUACAUGAAUGGAUUGAUGGAUAGAAGAAUGAAUGAAUAAACGGAUGGAUGAAUGAAUAAAUUAUGAAUAGAUGGAUGAAUGAAUAAACAAUUAUUAGUGGAUGAAUGAAUUAAUGAUGCAAAGAUGGAUGGAUUCAUAAAUUAAUGAAUGAAUAAAUAAAAGGAAUAGAGGGAUGAAUGAAUUAAUGAUGACUGAAUGAAUUAAUUAUGAAUUGAUGGAUGGAUGAAUGAAUUAAUUAAUUAUGAAUUGAUGGAUUGAUGGAUGAAUAAAUGAAUAGAUGGAUGAAUGAAUAAAUGAUGAAUAGAUGAUGAUUGAAUGAAUGAAUGAACGGAUGGAUGUGUUGGAUGCUAGCGAGGGAGAGAAAAAGGCCCCAAAAAGGAAAAGAGUCAUCUGGUCUGUGCAGGAAGGAGGCGGGGCUAAAGGCGAACAAGGCGGCCAUGUUGACAGGCGAUGAUGACCACGAAGACCAGAAAGACUGGAAGAUGAAGACAAAGUUCAUUCUCUGAAUUCUCUGAUGGGUGAAGGCGCGCGGGCGAUAAUGACUUGCGUUAGCAUUAGCGUUAGCAUGAGCAAUCAUUCCUUCGUAUGAAGAAGAAGAGGAAGUGAAUGAGUGAUGGGUAUUUCAGGUACGUGUGCCAGUGGAAGGGGUGCCAGCCGGUUGCUAAACAUUCCCUGUCACCUUAAGAGUCACGCCGGAUGUCGACUUGACAGCCUGUUUAGCUGGAUGGCUAGCGUAAAGCUAGUGAUCCCAGCCCAGGAGGGGAGGCGGGGCUAACUGAAGACUAACAACACAGCAUGUGAAGCAUGGAGGCUACUGAUGCAAGUAUUCUAGUGUUGUCAGCUGGCACACAUCCAUCACGUCCUGCUGCUCUCAUUGUCGUCUUCUUCUUCUUCCGUGUUUGUGCGUUAGUUGCACACUAAAACACAACCAAUCAAAAGCAGGAACUACACGGAGACGCAGCUGGGAACAAAUCACAGAAGGAAGUAAAGCUGCUGCUGCUUCUUCUGUUGUUUUGUUUUUUCAAUUCCCGGCGUGUCUCUCUCAGCUGUCACUUAACAUCACCUGUCAGUCAGAGGCGGUUGCCACGGGAACCGCUCCCGUCCACUUGGCAGAAUGUCCUUUAGCACCCUGAGACGUCCACGUCCUGACCCCGCAUCUCCAGGGACAGCGUGAAGGAUGUCACAGCUGGCAGGAAGCAUCUGCUGACUAGCACUGUUAGCGCCUGUGCUCACUUGUGCCGCUACUGUUAGCAUGGCUGCUUGUAGUACACCAUGUUAGCACAACGACUGCUACUGCUCGUACAUGUACUGCUAGCAUAACUGACACUUUUAGCACAGCCACUGUUAACACAAUUACCACAAGCACUGUUAAUGUUAGCAUGACUACUUAUAGAAAAACUACUAUCGUGAGCAGAACUACUGUCAAAUUACUCAGUUACUCAGACUAUAAAUACAAAUACUGUAACUACUGGUACUCUUAGUGCAACUACUUUUACUGUUAGUACAACUACCAUUUCUGGUAGCAGAAUCACUGUGACUUGGUGGAACUCACAUUAACACUAUUAUUCCUGCUAUAAAUACAAACAUUGUAAUGACAACCCGUAUUUAAAAAACUACUGUAGCUGUUAGCAUAAGUACUGUUUCUGCUAGCACCACAACUGCAGACUCUGUCACUGCCAAUACAACUAGUGUAAAUGUAAGUAGAAGUCGUGGCCACUAAUAGUACUGCUAGCAUCACUGGUAACACAUCUACUGCUAGCAGAGUUUAGGUUAACACAACCACUGUUACUGUUAGCACAUCUGCUUCUGCUAGAGUUAGCAUACUACUUGUGGUGAAGCAGCACCUUUUAAUGAAACAACUGAAAGUUUUUUUGUGCUAUAAAAGAAGAUUAGCAAGGCGUGCAGGCUGCUGUCAGCGCGAGUUAGCAUCUUUGCCACAAAAACUUGUUGUGAGAAUCCCGCGUGAAAGCUUUGUGGCCUCUGCAGCUGCUCCUGUGUUGUUGUGGUAGCACGCGUGUUCUCCGGCACACGGACUUCAGCGUAUGUAGCAGCUGUACAGCUCCUGAACUCUGACCCCUACAAGUGUUCCAGAGCACUCGGGGCAGCAACAUCCGCUUCUGCCGAGUUGUGCCACCUGCUAACCAUACCCGAGGAUGCGCUCGUGGCGUUCGCUGGUACUCAUGCAACCCGAGACGACACGCACACGAAGGAAGACACUUUUUUUUCUCUCUUCUUCUUCGUCUUCAUGCACGCUUCAAGUUUUAGGCUGGUUAGCUCCCAAGGUGCUAACCUGCUGCUAGCCAAACCGUGUUUGCUAACGUUAAGUCACAGUAAUCCUUGGUAAACGUACACCCGACAAAACACCUCCAGAUUCUACCUCAGCAAUCAUUGUGAGCGUUCGCAUUUCAUGCUUUUAUUCUGGAAGAUAUCGUCCUCACACAGCAGCACCGCAGCCGUGUGUGUGUGUGUGUGUGCGUCUGUGUGUGUUUGUGUGUGAGGCCUUAGGCAAGUUUCUGUUCCACUUGGUUGCCAUUGUUUGGAGCAGGUGGCGACACACAAUGACACGCUAACAAAAUGAUGUUUCUCAUGUUUGAGAAUUCUGGACGGACGCACGCGCACACACACACACACACACACACACACACACACACACAGUGUCAGGCCCGCAGGUAAAAAGAAGUAGAAGGUAAAUUAACAAGUCAUUUGUGUAACGUUGCAACACUGACCUUCAGCUAGGAGCUUUAAAUUGGGGGUGUCCAAGGCGUGUGUUUAUUAGCCUGCUGCGUAUUGUCAAAAUAAAACAAUGUAAGGCCUGCUAAAAUGUUAGCAUAGUAAAGGACCCACCCCCCAUCUUUUAAAACAUGCCGUCUCCCACCUGCUGACAAGCCCCGCCCACCUGCCGCUCCGCAUGACAAGCGCCCCGCCCACCUGCCAGCAAGGUUAGUGAGGAUGACGUGUGUGUUGAGGAAUGUGGGAAAGGAAGCGCGUCACACAAAAGCUCCAUUGUGCACACACACACACACACAGAUAGCACCCCCCCAUGUGAUAACAAAAUGCAAACAACCCGUCCAUCAUACGAGUUCCCACAUGCCACCACAUUACCAGAAGAGCACUUAGCUAGCCGCUAAUGAUAGCAGCUAAAACGCUGGCAUCAUCUCGGAUGACAACAUGAUUCACUGACGCUAAGUUAGCUUGACGUCACCUCAGCCAACCGGUGCUGCGUCUCAGAUUGUGCACUUAAGUCUGUUGAGUGCAUGAGUGUGUUGACACCGUUAAGUACGCCCAGACGUACUGCUAAGUACCCACAUGUUGCACUCAAAACACACAAAAUGGUGAGUGUGCCGCCACGGACCCUCACCGCCCUCAGUACUCGCCAUCUUGCCGUCGUAGCGGAAAGAGAGGGGCUAACGCAAGUAGUCGCAAUUAAAAAGGAGAGGAGAAGAAGGUAAAUAUUGUAACGGUCCGUUCCAGUAACGACAGUGAUGGAUGUGGGACAGCACUACACUGCCAGCACUCACACACUCAGUGACUAAGUACACAGUGCACACAGUGUACUAAUGGAAGUACACGGCUAACAUCAUCAAUAUAGUAAUCACUUAUCAACAAUCAAUGUUUGGUCUUUCACAUGCUAGCUAUGUCUCACACACACAUAGUUAGCAUAGCAUCCAUAAAGCUAAUGGAGUCAAAG